UUGUUACAGCUAAGCAAGCUAAACCAAGGUUACCAGUCAGGCUGAGACAAGUUCAGCCAAAGAGGAGAACCAUAAAACUACUCUAAUAACCACCAGAUUAAAGAGGCAUCAUUUACAACAAAAAGAUUAGCAAAAUAACUUGCUGUUUUCUAUACAUAGCUGUAGAUCCAAAUUGAAACAGGAGAAAGUUGUGUAUGCUUAUGUUAUGGGUGCUAUGUCAGUCUUUAAGAGUGAUGUGAUCCAAAAUGAGCAGUUCUGCUGAAAUUCUGAGUUCUUGCUAGGGAAGGGAUUGCUUGGGGCUUGUUGUAGUCUGGCCUUGGGCAGAGGCUGCCAAUAGCAGUCGGAAUUUGCUGCCUGUGCUCCUGAAGAACAGCUUCUGCUUGAGACUCCUUGAGUAGGUCCUCUUUGUGUCCUCCAGCACAGUUUUGUGGCAUGAACCAAAGUGCAGCAAGAGGGAAUGGUCCUGAUCUGAAUGAAAAUACUCAUGCAGGUAUGCCUUGUAUCGGUUCAGAACCAUGGUGAGACAAGCUUUUAAGUGGCAUUUUUUACUUACUGGAGCAUUUCCCAGUAGUGAAGGAAGAAAUUAAGGAAUUAGGACUGGACCAGGAAGCUAAACAAAAUGUGUGAAAUGUGAGAGGGAUAUGAGGUCCCAUGAUAAAUGCACUCAGACAACCAGUGAGAUACUUCUGCAAGGGCCAUGACGAGACAUGAAAUGUAGCUGCAAGAGACCAGGAUCAUCUACACAUAGAUCAAGCUGAAAAAUGGAAAAGCACUGUCUGCAAGCCUGGAUACACUCAUGCUUCAGUGGGAGGAAAAAAAUGGAAAGUAACAAUGUUGAAAGACAAGCACACUUCAAGUUGAAUCUCAUUCUGUUAGGCCAGUCCUUACUUGUAAUGUCUUGAUCUCUUUCAUGACAGCUGGGGCAGGAGACACUAGGCUAUAUAAAAUGCUAGCCAGCAUCUUGAAUUACAAAAGGCAGGGAGAAAAGACCUGAUUCUGUGGUGAAACCAUCCACUCAGAAAAAGCUUUUCAAUGCAAAAGUAAUAACUGCAUGCUAUUAGCUGUAAUCGUAAACCUAAGCUAAUAUAAUGUUGUUUUUAUUCCCACUGAGUGAUUUCACUGUGAGUCUGGUCUUUUGCAUCUUCUUAAUCCCUUCACAUGCUACUUUGUGCAUUUUCCUUUCUAAUGCUCUGCUUCUUUACCUGCUGUCCGUGUGCCACAUGCAAUUUUAGUGAGCAUGCUGGAUUAUCUGUUUAGCAGUAGCUAGCACUGGCUGGCAUUUGCAUGCUACCUCUUUUCAAUUCAAUUACUGACUGUGCACAGGGCAGUAAUUGCAGUUUCAGAAAGCUAAGGUUAAUGAGUAAAUUGAGUUUUAUGUCUUCCUGGGUCAUAAGAUAAAAAUUAUGGAUAAAAUGUAUUUGUAUAGGAGAGAUUUAAAUAGUGGUGGUUGUGUCAGGCUGCACUGGAAGCUCAUAAAGAAAGUUUAGGUGUCUGCUGAAAUAGAAAAUGUCACUGAUAAUGAAACUCAAAGGAGGAUGGAAGAGAGCUAUUCUGAACAGUUCAACUUCUCCUUUUCCUCCUAAUGGACACACCAUGCAAUUUGGCCAGUAAUAAAAAGUGAACUUCAGUUUUUCUGCAAUGAGACCAACUUUUGCUAUGCACUACACAAUUCUAAGUAGGCAUCAUAAGUAAAUAUCAGUGUUUGAGAGACAAAAACAACUAAAAGAGGGGUUUGUCUGAUGAAGUGGUCUAAAUUAAAAUUAGACAUUUUCUUCCAGGUGCCUGCCCAUCUCUCAAAAAGCAAUCCCUACAGUAAAUCACUUAUCAGUUUGAUCUGCAGGCAUCAGGGUUCUUUAAUUGAAUCAGUCAUCCGGUUCUAAUCAGCUGCCAUCCAGAAACUGAAUUCCUAUUGAAUUAAUAUGGAGCUCUUUUGUAUGCUUCAGUUAUCAAAAAACUUUAGCAAGUCAGUGGUUUCAGAGAAAAGUAACUUGUCAGGUCUCUUCCUUGAGAAGAGGAGGAGGUUAUGCUGCAGUGAUGGCUUUCUCAAAGCAGUAUGCCUUUAAAGGUCCACAUCUCCCUCCUAUAGCAAAACAGAAGAGUAAUUAAGAUUAAUAAGAGGUGAAUGCAAAUGUGGGUAGGUGUGUGGGACAGCCAGACCUCAUGUCUCAAGUGCUGCACACCAGGUGGUAACUCAGCUGGGAGUCAGAUCUGUCCUGCCUUGCUUGGGCCACUCAGUGCCUUAUGCUUUCCUCCUUUCCUCAGAUCCCCUCACUCUCCUGUGAGGAGUUUUCCUCCUUUCCUCAGAUCCCCUCACUCUCCUGUGAGGAGUUUCAGUAGGGUGGGCCUGUGUCCUUCCUCCUCUGGCACACUGCAGUAGCACAUCUGGACAGCCUCAUCUUUGCUCUCCCUUAAAAGCUCCUCAUUAGAAAGUGUCUCAGCCAUGGCUAGCACCUUGACCUCUCUCCUCAGUGAGAGAGGGACAUCCAUUGUCCCCUUCUGACUCAUUUUACCCCAUGCAAAUCUGUGUUAGUGAGGGCUCAGGAGCUCAGUAACCACUCAGGACUUCAACCACUCCGUGUGCCUGGCCACUGCUACUUUAGGGAAGAGAAUUACAGGAGUGGUUAUGGAUAAAAUGAAAAUGGAAAAUGGAAAAUGGAUGGGAGUAUGUCACAAGUAGAUUGGACUUGCAUGCGAGAGUGAAAGUGGAAAAGGAGGAAGUCUCAUACCCAUGAGACUAGUCAAGCAAAUAUUGGCAAGGAAAUUGUCCUCCUUAGGAGUAAACCUGUAUUGUCAGGCUGUCAGAUUUAGUGGGGGAAGUGCCUGCCUUGUCAGCUCUAGCUGAGCCAAGCUGAGCUCCUGGUGUGUCAGAUGAGCCACCAAAGCAGCCUCUUGCCACUCAGAAGGGAGCUGGCUGAGCACUGUGCACAUCAGCACCCCUCUGGCAGCCCCAGCAAGCAGGGCUCAGACCCUUGGACCAGGAUCCAAGGAUCUGUCAUAUGAAAGUCCCAUCCCAUGCAUGGACCCACUGGACAGGACUCCCAGGAGCCUCCAGAGCACUACUGCAGGGGGAGCAGAAUUAGAAGGAAUGGAAAAUGAAGGAAGUAAGAAAGAAGCAGACAGGUUGAAAUGGAAGAGAGAAACUGAAGCAAAUGUUGACAAUAUUAAAAGCAUAGUCUAGAUCUUGCCAACAAAAUCAUUAGCGUAUGAGUGGAAGCAUCUUUCAACUAGAAAUGGUCUGUAUGUACUUUGUUUCUGAAACAUACAAUAUGUCAGGCUACAUUUGUGGUGGACAGAAAACUUCAGCCCUCAUCUUUUCUUGAAACUAUGUCAACUUCAGCAGCAAAACCUCUUUUUCUAGCAUUGCAAUAUUUAAUAUGACAUUCCAAGUGAUGUGCAAGACAGUAGAACCAAAAGGGAGAUGCAUUAAUGUAGGUAAGUAUUUUCUGCAUUUUCUGUCCUGGUUUCAUCUGGGACAAAGUUAAUUUUUUUCCUAGUAACUGGUCCAGUGUUCUGUUUUGGAUUUAGUAUGACAGUAACUUAAAUUUAAGUUUUGAAACACAUUGCUGUUUCCCAUUGUUGCUGAGCAAUUUACAGCACUUUUUAGCUUCUUGUGCCCUGACAGUGAGAAGGCAGGAGAGGCACAUGCUGGGAGGGGACAAAGCUUGGACAGCUGACCCCAGCUGACCCAAGGGAUAUCCCAUACCAUAUGGCAUCAUGCUCUGUAUAUGAGCUGGGGGGGAGCUGGCUGGGGGCCACUGCUCAGGAACUGACUGGUACCAGUUGGUGGUGAGCUAUCACACUGUGCAACACUUGAUUUGUAUAUUCAAAUUAUUAUAUUUUAUAAUUAUUAUUUUCUUAAUUUUCUGCCCCAUGAAAUUGUCUUUAUCACAACCCAUGAGUCUGAGUCUUCCUACUCUCUCCUCCACCCCACUGAUAGGGAGGGCAGUGGUUGAGAGGCUGUGUGAUGCUUAGUUGCCAGCUGGGGGUAAACCACAACAAUUGGAUGAACCUACUUAAUGCCCAUUGCAUUACACCCUUUUCUUCCUCCCCUGUGGAUACACAAGAACCUAAGCAUAUGUCAGGUAGUCUGAAAAUGUUGCUGGCAUUGAGAAGGGACAAAUGUCCUUGACCCCUUGCCCGUGGCAGAGCUGUAACUUAGGAAUCCCUCAAAUUCUGAAUUGGAAAAAUGAAAGCAUUUUCUCCCGUUUGUUUAUAUUUUAUGAUAAUGCAGGAUAACAAAGGUAUAUCCUGGUAUUUCUUUUCCUCCAUACCCAAAUUUUGCUAAUUUCUACAUAAUAUUGCCUAUAUUCCACAGUUCUUCUGGUCUGAUGAAGAGAAGAGAUGAGAUGAUCUCAUGAGAUAAGAGUGAUCUCUCAUAAGGACUGGUAGUUAUUUUUCAGAGAUUUCCAGAACCAUAUUUCCUAAUAUUUCCAUAACCAAGAUGGAUGUUUCUAAGGGAAUAACUACAUGAGUGCUCGCAGCUGUGUUCAAAACAUAGUGCAGCCAAAGUCUGUUGUGAGUGCAUGUUACACACCCAAAAUUCAGUUCCAGACAGUGUUGGGGCUGCAUUUUAAGAGAUCAUUUUAGUUCCUAGGCCUCUUAAUGCUAAUAAAAAUUCUUACUGUUGCAGGAUUAGUCAAUGGCAAAAUCCAUCUGAAAGAUGUCUUUUUUUUCCCAGUGAAACUGUGGGUGGAGGUUUGGGUUUGCAUCCUUACUCUCUUAACUGUUCUUUAUUCCUGGCCAAAGCAGAAUUGGUUGGGAUUGUGAUCCUGAGCCUCUUUAAAUAACCAUUUAUUGGUUCUGUUUUUCUCAUUAUAGGAACAAAUUUCAGAUCUGAGAUUUGGGUGUCUCUGUAGCUCUUUCCUAGGCUCUACAUUAUUAUAUUAGCUUGUGUCUCUAGUCCUGAAAAAGAAUGUAAUUUCAUCCUCACAUUUCGAAAGGUUAAUCUCUUCUCAUCAACAAUAAUGGGUCACAUCAUGUGGCAGGGUAAAAAAAAAAAGUAUCAUACAUCUGAAUUUCCUACCCAUGUGAGCAGUAGAAAAAUGAACAGGAGUGGGAAGGAGUCAUCACAUCAUGUACUAACUCAUCUAAAUCUGGAUGCUUAAAUUAGGUUCCUCCACCAAGUGGAAUCAGAACGAGUCAUCUCUGUCACUGUUAGGAAAGCCAAGAGAGAUUAGGCCCCUAAUUUAUUUAUCAAAAUAUUUGAUUGUACUUUAUUAUGUGUUAAAUAUCUUAUAAAUGUGCUCUGAUUAUCUUGCCUUCUUCCCAGCCUCUCAGCCUCUUAAACUGCUAACUUAAUGAUCCUGCUGAACUUUCAGAAAUAUACCAGAAGUGCUUCUCCGGAGCUCUAGAGCAACAGGAAACAAAGAAACUUGAAGAAAGCCAAGACAAAAAAAUGUUCAGAAAAAAAAUCCAGAGAUGAAGGGGAGGAGCUGCAAAUGUGUGUCACAGCCACAACAGUAGCUGCUGUUCUCACCCCACAUGGGCUGUGAGAACUUAAUGAGCAAAAUUGUCCAUGCACUUAAUAAAUACUUGGGUUGAAGGGCUGAAGAAGGUCAUGUUUUAAAGACCUAACUGCAGGCAAUUGAUCAUGAUGGGGCUAACAAGGUUUUUCUAGGAGGCAAAAGUGUGACUCCAGCAGAGCCAUAGAGGCAGGACCUGUCAUUGGAAGGGCCACCAAGCUCUUGGCCCUCACAAGUGGAUGCCCAGCAUCCCCUGUGGGGCUAUAAGGGCUCCACUGCUGCAACAGCCUUCCUCCCAUUGGCUUCAGCAGCCUAAAUGUUGCAGGAACCUUUAAUCUGAGCCUAGCUAGAUGAAAGCUGUUACACGUGUAACUAGCAAUGCCAUAAUGGCAGCUUUGAUUACAGUGUAGGUAUCUUCAAAAAUAGAUGAUCUUGGGAAUCAAGGUCAGGACGUGACUAUGAGAAUUACAGGCUUUCCUAAAAGUGCUGAGGAAAACAAAAACGCAAACUGAGAAACUUAUUGAUUCUUCCAUUUUAACCCUGAUGACCAGCUACAUCAAACUGAUCUGCCGGGAGCCAUCACAAACAAAUCCACAAUAAAAGAAACACCACAUGGAUCGGCGGCAGCAGACAUCAGAAACCUUCCCUGAGGAGAGGUUGUUGUUCCCCACCACCACGCUCCUGGGCAGCAGCCACAUACCAGAGAGGCAAAUCACAUGCCAGUGGUGCUUGAUGGUCACUGUAAGUUUUUUAUCACCUUUGAAUUCAUCUAGCCCUUGAAUCCCUUCAUUCAGCCUUGCCCACGGUCAUAUGUCUCCAAUCUUUUCUCACAUACGCAGGCUUGGGAAAAGAGUUAACAGUUUUGCCUUUGUGGGUGUUUUUUACAACAGCUUAACUUUACUGACCACUAUGGAAAUUCUCUAGAUUUGCACUGCUGUGAACUAAACUGGGCUCAGGGGAACCGUGUGUGUGGGUUAUAGACUCCUUAAUUGCAUGUGGGCAGCAUUGUCCUCUGACUCAGAAAUAUCUUUGCCUUGGGAAAAAAAUAAUAUACUCCCAAAAAAUUAUUGUUGUUCUUUAUUCACAGACUUGAUCUCUUUAACAUUGCCCUGCAUUUGUCUUCACAAAAUUUAUUGGAUAAAUGGCAAAAAAGGGUAUUAGUUGUUUCCACUGAAAUAUGUGAGUGAUAAACACAUCUGUUAUGUGAACAGAUGUGAGAAUUCUUUACAGAUAUGGGAAUUCUUUACAAAUCCAUUUCUCACACUGUUAUACUCCUGUACAGUAAUUGGGCAUGUUUUUGAUUGAACAGUCCCUGAUUCAAAAGCAUCUCACCUGCUCUUAAUAUGAAGGCAAUAAAAGCGUAGCCAUGUGCUGUGUUUCUGGCACAGCUUCAGCUCUUCCACAUUACUUAAAUCAUGACCAUAUAUUCCAGUUAGCUUAGGCUUCAGGCUUUAAAAGCUCAAUGUGAGUAAUGAAGGGAAAGCAAUCUGAUUAGCUGGUGGAACUGACUAAAAGGCACCUUCAUUACAAAGGGGCUUUAAAAAGGAGUAAAACGACAUGAAAUGGAUUAAAGGUAUAAUAAUAAUGAUAGUAUCAAACAGCAUAACAAAGAAAAAUAUCUGCAUUCAACUAAUAUUAAUAUUUAAUAGAUGGCACAGGCAUGUCCAUGGCUUUAUAUUCUUCUGUUUUAAUGAUCUUUACCACAGCUUGAGGUCCUUUGUCUUGUCCCCUUCUACUGACAUCAGCUGGAGGAGACAUAGAUUAAAACAAGGGUAAUUUCCCCAUGGUCAUUGCUUGGCACUAUUUCUGCUUUGCUCAGCCAUGAACUGAAGUUUAAAGGAUGAAGUACUGUCACUCAGGCUGAUUCUCCCCUCCACCCCAUCUUACCAGGGUUAACCACUCAGCCAGUCACCACGGAAACACCGGGCUCCUUUGCCACCCCACAGCCUCAUAUUGGGAAUGGCACCAUAAUCUCAUUAGGAGGUUGAAUUUGCCAUUGAAGCUUGAAUUCCCAUAACAGGAGGGGAGUGGACUAAUGCAAUUAAGCAAAUUAGCAUUUUCAGCCACUGCAUGAUAUCUGUCCAAUACCAUGACCAAAGACUAGGUAGCUUUCUUCCACUCCUAAAAAAAAAAAAAAAAGUCAACAAAA